CAAGGAGCUUUUUUUAACAGCUAGUGAUUUAAAGCUAUCAAAUUCCUUUAGGUUUAAAUCAUGCAGCUGUUGAACAAGCUCUUCC
rnacentral:pre_miRNA from 1 species